GGUAGCCUAGUGGUUAGAGCAUUUGCCUUGGAUGCAGAAGGUUGCUGGUUUGAACCUCAGCCAAGUCA